rnacentral:sRNA from 1 species
AGAAGGAGAAGAAGGAGAAGAAGAAGAAGAAGAGCCUUGCAAAUGCAUCUCCAGGCAACUCCCAGGGCUGCAGGGCUUCCACCUGUACCUCAGAACAGACAGGCCGAGUACAGCUGAGACCCGAGUGAGGCGUUAGCUGGCAGAAAAACCUGCAUCUCUCUGGCAACUCGACUCUCACCAGUACUUUCCUGAGAGCAAGGCAUUUGCCCGCAGCACAUUCUUCCAGGCCGAGUGCUGGCGCUCUAUCAGGCCACAUGCUGCAAUUACUCCAGCAAGUUAGUGCAGCUCCUUCAUUUCAGCACUGGUCUCCAGCUGCCCACGCCUUCCAGAGGAUUCACUGAGGAGGAGACACUGAUGCCCACGUGAUGUCUGGGUAGGCAUAGUCACUUGCCCUGGCCAUAGAUCACCAUCUAUACAUGCAGCUCUAUUAGAGAGGACUCCUGCACUAGUUAACCAUGUCUGUGCACAGCUGAGGGGCCCAUGCCUAUGGUGGGCAGGAAAGCUGUGGCUUUUACAGUGUCUUCCCAGCAUCCUCUCCCUACACCCAGACAUGGCCUUGGAUAUGACCACUCCUAGCUUGCUUAUUUAACCUAUACUUACUGAGAAUGGAUCCAGACCAGAGUGUACCUGGGUAGGCAGUGAGAUAGACUCCUUUUCUAAGUCACUAGGUGAAGUGGGAACUUCCCUACAGACUCCCCACAGAGCCUGGGCAUGUGGGAACUCUUACCACAGAAAAGAUACAUGACAUUGCUUAGUGCCAGAGGUCGAGUUGAUAGUACAGGUUAUAAAGUGUUCCUGGGAAGGCUAUGGUAAACUGCAGGGCUAUAGGUGGUCUAGACAGAGCAGGGACACUGAGUUACUGGGACACUCUGGUGUAGUCAUGGAGACUCCAACUAGUCCUUCUGCUGGCUGUAUGGCCAGGACCUGCCUGCCUUUUUAGAAACUGCCCUCUCUCUCCCAGAUGCAUCUUGACCUCCUCUACUGAGGAACCCGUCUGUAUUUAUUACUUUUCUCAUCACUUUGACAGAAGCUUUAUGGGAGAGGAAGAUUUGCUUUGGACCCAGGUUUAGUUCAUCCGGACAGGACAGGUGUGGUGAUGGGAGCAGCUUGGUCCAUGUGGGUAGGAGCAGGAGGCCACUGCUUGUUCACAUCACAGAAAAUGAAAAGGCUAGAGCUGCAGACCAGAGCCUUCAAAAGGCCAGGCUCUGAUGACCUAUGUCUGUCCCCUACACCCCUCAUCCCCAAAAUAGUGGAAACUUUCUGGGGCCCAGGUGUUCAAACGUGGGAAUCUUUUGGGUGGCUUCAGACCUAAACCAUACACCUUUCCUGAUCUCUGUCACCAAGAACCUUCCUCAGGGCUCCUUGAGGGCAGACACAGAGUGGCCCAACCCAGCCAAAAGGGAGAACAAAGGUGCUGAGCUGCAUGGCUGCCCAGAGAGAGAAGCUGGACCCACCCCCAGCUGCCCACAUUCUAUCCUGGCCUCCCUACCCAUCUCUUCCUGGUUCCCAAACAUGCAGGACGCACCACACAUUCUGCAUCUGACUUCUAAACAAAACGGAAACAAAGGCACUUCCUUAGGAAGGCUCAACGCCCGAUGUUUGUUCUUCUUAUUGGAACCCUGGUGAGCCAUGGGGCACUCGCUGUUUGUGGGCUUAUUAAAAAGAAAUGCAUGGAAGGAAUAAUUGCCUGUUCUGUGGUGAGAAAUUACCGUCUCUGUUUUAUUUAUUGCUGUAUAGGAAACAAACAUAGCAUGUAAUUUAGUGAUUAGAACUUUGCAACUUUCGUUUCGUAUAAUUGCAUGCUUUUAUUCAGUAAAGCUAUUACUUUGAUUUUAAAAAAAUCCUUUCUGACCCCUUUCAGGGUCCUCAGAAGCAGAAGGGUCUCACGUGGAGAUUUUCAGCAAGCCUGAGAGUGAUGACCCUGUCUUUUCACCAGGAAUUGUGGGUGGGAGCUGGCAAGCCUUUCUGUCCUGUCUACGUGACAAUUCACCUCCAAUACGGUCGUUGCAGCUAAAGACUAAACAUCCUUCAAGUCCUACGUUGAGACACCACUGCUCUGACCGCCCACCUGACCUUUCCUGGCCCCAGGAAACAACCUGUGAAUGAGGAGAUAGAUGGAAGAUCCAUGAGCAGGCCACCAGUUCACUAGUCACAGUCCCAUCUAGGGCUCAUGGGACUAAACAGUCAGGGUUCCUUUGUUGUCAAAUGCUGCAUGGAGGUUAGAUGGAUGCUGAGCUGGCCAAUAGGACUUUCUUUUCCCUGCAGACUCAGUCCCAUCUGGGCUGAGUGGAGCCAAUUAACAUCCUGAUAGGGCUCCAAAGCUGCUGAGUUGCUGGGUUCUGUCCUUUACAGGAAUGGAGAAAGCCUGACCCAGGCAUGCAGCUUUCUAGGCCACUGCCUGUGACCUGAGACCCCGAUCCAGAACCUGGGAGGAGUUCCUAUGAGACUGACUUUUGCACCCCACGAGUGACACCACAGCCUGACUCUGAGUCUUUUCAUUUGCCCUCUGUUCUUCUCAACUCUGAGAUUCUCAACCAAGGUUCAUUUGGCUUGCGUUCUGCCUGAGUUAUGUUCUAAACACAUUCUAAGGAAGAGCCGCGUUUAUAGGAACUUGCUGUUCCUUCAUCCAAUAGAUGUUUCUUGGUUUAGGGUGAAAAUUGAAUCAGGAUUCCAAAGCGACUGCACAUGGCCAAGUCCUCUUGUGUUGGGCUGACGGUACCAUGUGCUUCUGGCAGUGCUGGCUUCACUCCUCAUGUUGGCCCAGGUACAGACAUUGUGUAGAGUAUUUCUCUACAGGGUUCUACUUUCCUACUGCCAGUGUCAUUUCAGACACUUCCUUUUCUAGAAAACACUUUGGUCCCAGUACCACAUGGCAUCAGAUGUCUUAGCCCAGGCAAGGAUGACAGAGUGGGCAGCUAAGCACAGUGUGUACACAGGUAGAUCUGUCCUGGUUAAUUUUACGUCAACUUGAUUGUCAACUAGAGUCAUUUGGGAAGAGGAACUCUCCAUGGAGAAAAUGCUUCCAUAAGAUUGUCUAAUAGACAAGUCUGUUGAUAUUUUUCAUAAUGAUUGAUGAGGAAACUCCAACCCAUUCUGGGCAGUGCCACCCCUGGGAAGGUGGUCCUGGAUUGUGUAAGAAAGCAGGAUGAAUGGGAUAUGAGAAGCAAGCCAAGAAGUGUUCCUCCAGGGCUUCUGCUUUAGUUCCUGAUUCUAGGUUCCUGCACUGGGUUCCUGCCUUACAUCCCUCAAGGCUGAACUGUGAUAUGGGAUAUAAACUGAAAUAAACCUUCUCCUCCUCAAGUUGCUUUUGGUCAUGCUGAUUUAUUAACAACAGAAACUGUCUUAACUAUUUCUUCUUUUGCCACUACCAUGGCCAAAAAUCCGACCAAAGCAACUUAAAGAAGAAAUGACCAUCAUGUGGAGGAGCAUGGCAGUAGACAGGCAGGCAUGGUGUUGGAACAGUGGCUGAGGGCUGACAUUGGAUCCACAACCAGGAGGCAGACAAAGAGCUAACUGGCAAUGGUGUAGGUGUUUGGAACCUCAAAGCCCCACCCAGCGACACACCUCCUCCAACAAGGUUCCACAUUCUAACCCUCCCCAAGCAGUUUCACCAACUGAGGACCGAGUAUUCAAAAAGAUUAUUUUAUGGGGCCAUUCACAUUCAAAACACCACAAAAAAAAAACACCCUGACACAUGCACAAACAACACACUUACAUGUACAUAGCACAGAUGUGUAUACCACACACACACACAGGCAUGCAAGUGACUCGCUCACUGAUACACAGACAUAGAAGCAAUGUCCCACACCCCCAUGAUGCAAUAUGCACACCAGGCAGCCUUACACACAGGUUUAUACACAACUCCCACAAACAACUGUGUCUUCCCCCAAUCCCUUUUCAGUGCUCAUCUACCACUAAUCUGUUCUCCAUUUUCCCUACCUUUCUACUUUAAGAAUGACAGGAACAUGGAAUUAUAGCGUGUACAACCUCUUAGAGUUGUCCGUCCUCAGUCAUCAUAAGUUUGGAGGUACAUUAAACUUCCCUGUCAAUUACUUUUCAUUCUUCAUUCAUUCAUUCAUU